rnacentral:lncRNA from 1 species
GGAAAAUCCAUAUGUGACACUCAAUUGAAGAAGUCGGUUUAAAUCUAGCAGGUGGAAUGGAACUGCAGACCAGUUGCAAAAAUAAGAAUAUCUUCUAUUUUUGCAGAUUUACCAUCCUCAAUAGUCUAGAACUGACCUUUUUUGGUUAGAAGAAAAAAAUGUUUGAAGUUCCUGCAUCAGCAAUACCAGAAAUCUGAGCUUACUAAUAAUGACAUUAUGCUUGUACAUGGUGAGCCUCAUUUUACUGUUGCAAGAAAAAUAUAUAGAUUACAGGUUUUGAAAUCAAUUUAGUAGGUUGUGAGCAGCACGGCUUUUAAAAAUAGAACAGAAUGGAAAAUGUCUGAAUGCAUUGCAAGAGAGAGAUAAGAAUUAUUUUGUAUAACUUUUUUGUUUCCAUUUUAUAUAGAUAAAACUAUAGAUGAAGAGCUGAAGUGUGUAUUCAGUUGGAGUAUGAAAUAUAUUUCUUACUGACUUGCAGUUAAAAAUAAAAACCAUUGAUU